rnacentral:rRNA from 1 species
CCUACGGGAGGCUGCAGUGAGGAAUAUUGGUCAAUGGCCGAGAGGCUGAACCAGCCAAGUCGCGUGCGGGAAGAAUGUCCUAUGGAUUGUAAACCUCUUUUGUCAGGGAGCAAAGUCACCCACGUGUGGCUGUUUGAGAGUACCUGAAGAAAAAGCAUCGGCUAACUCCGUGCCAGCAGCCGCGGUAAUACGGAGGAUGCGAGCGUUAUCCGGAUUUAUUGGGUUUAAAGGGUGCGUAGGCCGCGUCUUAAGCCCGCCGUUAAAUGCGGGGGCCCAACCCUGUCCCAGCGGUGCGAACUGGGGAGCUUGAGUGGGCGGGACGUAUGCGGAAUGCGUGGUGUAGCGGUGAAAUGCAUAGAUAUCACGAAGAACUCCGAUUGCGAAGGCAGCAUACCGGCGCGCUACUGACGCUGAAGCUCGAAGGCGUGGGUAUCGAACAGGAUUAGAUACCCCUGUAGUC